rnacentral:rRNA from 1 species
UACAGAGGUCCCAAGCGUUGUUCGGAUUCAUUGGGCGUAAAGGGUGCGUAGGCGGCGCGGUAAGUCGGGUGUGAAAUCUCGGGGCUUAACUCCGAAACUGCAUUCGAUACUGCCGUGCUUGAGGACUGGAGAGGAGACUGGAAUUUACGGUGUAGCGGUGAAAUGCGCAGAUAUCAGGAGGAACACCGGUGGCGAAGGCGGGUCUCUGGGCAGUAACUGACGCUGAGGAGCGAAAGCGUGGGGAGCGAACAGG